GAUGAACGCUGGCGGCGUGCCUAAUACAUGCAAGUCGAGCGAACAGAUGAGGAGCUUGCUCCUCUGACGUUAGCGGCGGACGGGUGAGUAACACGUGGAUAACCUACCUAUAAGACUGGGAUAACUUCGGGAAACCGGAGCUAAUACCGGAUAAUAUAUUGAACCGCAUGGUUCAAUAGUGAAAGACGGUUUUGCUGUCACUUAUAGAUGGAUCCGCGCCGCAUUAGCUAGUUGGUAAGGUAACGGCUUACCAAGGCAACGAUGCGUAGCCGACCUGAGAGGGUGAUCGGCCACACUGGAACUGAGACACGGUCCAGACUCCGACGGGAGGCAGCAGUAGGGAAUCUUCCGCAAUGGGCGAAAGCCUGACGGAGCAACGCCGCGUGAGUGAUGAAGGUCUUCGGAUCGUAAAACUCUGUUAUUAGGGAAGAACAAAUGUGUAAGUAACUAUGCACGUCUUGACGGUACCUAAGCAGAAAGCCACGGCUAACUACGU
rnacentral:rRNA from 1 species